GUCAUGGUGGUGCAGCGGUUAGCAUUACUGCCUCACAAUAAGAAGGUUGUAGGUUCAAAUCUGGCCUGGGCUC